GAAUCACGGACCAAGGAGUCUAGCAUGUGCGCGAGUCAUUGGGAUUUGAAUAAACCUAAAGGCGCAAUGAAAGUGAAGGUUCGUCUUGCACGGACCGAGGGAAGAUGGGUGAUCGCCCAAAAAGUGGCCAUCCCGCAUUCCCGGGGCGUCUCGUUCUCAUCACGAGGAGAGGCGCACCAAGAGCGUACACGCUGGGACCCGAAAGAUGGUGAACUAUGCCUGGUCAGGACGAAGUCAGGGGAAACCCUGAUGGAGGUCCGUAGCGAUUCUGACGUGCAAAUCGAUCGUCGGAACUGGGUAUAGGGGCGAAAGACUAAUCGAACCAUCUAGUAGCUGGUUCCCUCCGAAGUUUCCCUCAGGAUAGCUGGCGCUCGUUGCGCACGAGUCUCAUCCGGUAAAGCGAAUGAUUAGAGGCAUUGGGGUCGAAACGGCCUCAACCUAUUCUCAAACUUUAAAUGGGUGAGAUCUCCGGCUUGCUCGAACUAUUGAAGCCGCGAGACACGGAUCAGAGUGCCAAGUGGGCCAUUUUUGGUAAGCAGAACUGGCGCUGUGGGAUGAACCAAACGCCGAGUUAAAGCGCCUAAAUCGACGCUUAUGGGAUACCAUGAAAGGCGUUGGUAACUUAAGACAGCAGGACGGUGGCCAUGGAAGUCGGAAUCCG
rnacentral:rRNA from 1 species